rnacentral:snRNA from 1 species
ACUACUUCUCAGCCUUCUGCCCAAAAUCAAAGUGUAGAUUUAUUCUUAUCAGCUUAAUAUCUGAUAAACAUUCAAAGGAUAUCCCAAUAUUAAACUAGUUUUUGAAUAUUUGGAAGUUUUGUGUUAAGAAUUUAUUCUCCCUUUGCUAUAGGUAGGCCCUGUUACUCACUGCCUGCAAAAU